GGCGCUAUAGUGCAGUGGUCAGCACGUUCCGUUGUGGGCUUGUCAAUAACACUUGACUGUCAAGUACAUGGACUUCUUGUUGUUCUUGUUGUUAUUGGGUCAAAGCUAUUCCAGAGAGACCUUGGUUCAAACCCAGGCAGCGCCA